CAUGUGUAAGCGAAGCUAUAUGUGGAGCGGUGAAAGGCUCAGUAACGGGCGAUUUAUUUAAUCUCCUGGGGCGGACAACAUCGGGAAACUGAUGGGAAAACGUCUAAGUUGCAUUAAUUUUAGUGUGACGUAAACGAUUAUCGUGCAGGAGAGUAAGAUGCCAUCCUAUCAGUUAGUAAGUAGGGUAAGGGCCUACUUAGACGAAGACGGGUACGGGGAAUGAGGGUUUGAUUCCGGAGAGGGAGCCUGAGAGAUGGCUACCAGGACCAAGGUCAGCAGCAGGCGCGAAAAUUAUCGAAGCCCGCCUAGGGGCGAUAGUGAGGAGACGUGUAUAACGAAGUACGUGUAAAGAACGUACUAAUAACUGGAGGUCAAGUCUGGUGCCAGCAUCCGCGGUAAUUCCAGCUCCAGGGGUGUCUAUGAUGAUUGCUGCGAUUAAAAAGUCCGUAGUCAAGCUGCCUGACUGACCUGCAAUGUGAUUGAUUAAGGAACGAGCAGGGUUAGGAAAGCAGAGAAUUAGGAGCGACCGAGGGCUAGAGUAUUGAAUGGCGAGAGGUGAAAUUUGAUGACCCAUUCAGGAGUGACAAAGGCGAAGGCACUAGUCAAGGGCGAAUCCGAUGAUCAAGGACGUAGGCUAGAGUUUCGAAAACGAUUAGAGACCGGAGUAGUUCUAGCAGUAAACUAUGCCGACGCCGUGGUAUGGUUUUUUGUGGCUGUAUUGCGGAAGAGAAAUCAAGUAAGGCUUUGGGGAGAGUACGCGCGCAAGCGAUAAAUUUAAAGGAAAUUGACGGAGGAACACCACAAGGAGUGGAGUGUGCGGCU
rnacentral:rRNA from 1 species